rnacentral:rRNA from 1 species
CAGUAGCCGCGGUAAUACGAAGGGGGCUAGCGUUGUUCGGAUUUACUGGGCGUAAAGCGCACGUAGGCGGACUUUUAAGUCAGGGGUGAAAUCCCGGGGCUCAACCCCGGAACUGCCUUUGAUACUGGAAUUCUUGAGUAUGGUAGAGGUGAGUGGAAUUCCGAGUGUAGAGGUGAAAUUCGUAGAUAUUCGGAGGAACACCAGUGGCGAAGGCGGCUCACUGGACCAUUACUGACGCUGAGGUGCGAAAGCGUGGGGAGCAAACAGGAUUAGAUACCCCAGUAGUCCCUGUCUCUUAUAC